rnacentral:rRNA from 1 species
GUACGGGGGGGGCAAGCGUUUGUUCGGAAUUACUGGGCGUAAAGGGCUCGUAGGCGGCCAACUAAGUCGGAUGUGAAAUCCCCAGGCUUAACCUGGGAACUGCAUCCGAUACUGGAUGGCUUGAAUCCGGGAGAGGGAUGCAGAAUUCCAGGUGUAGCGGUGAAAUGCGUAGAUAUUGGGAGGAACACCGGUGGCGAAGGCGGCCCCCUGGACCGGUACUGACGCUGAGGCGCGAAAGCGUGGGUAGCAAACGGG